GACGUAGGGGGCCAGCGUUGUUCGGAAUUACUGGGGGUAAAGGGUUCGUAGGCGGUGUGGCAAGUCGGGAGUGAAAUCUCUGGGCUCAACCCAGAGACUGCUUCCGAAACUGCUGUGCUUGAGUGUGAGAGAGGCUCGUGGAAUUGCAGGUGUAGCGGUGAAAUGCGUAGAUAUCUGCAGGAACACCCGUGGCGAAAGCGGCGAGCUGGAUCACUACUGACGCUGAGGAACGAAAGCUAGGGGAGCAAACAGG
rnacentral:rRNA from 1 species